rnacentral:rRNA from 1 species
CACGCCGUAAACGAUGCUCACUAUUUGUUCGGGGAUUCGACCCCCUGAGUAAAACAGCUAACGCGUUAAGUGAGCCGCCUGGGGACUACGGUCGCAAGAUUAAAACUCAAAGGAAUAGACGGGGACCCGCACAAGCGGUGGAGCGUGUGGUUUAAUGCGUAGCUAAGCGCAGAACCUUACCAAGGCUUGACAUCCAGAGAACUUUCUAGAAAUAGAUCGGUGCCGUUUACGGAACUCUGUGACAGGUGU